UUCGGGGUGUAAUGUGCACACCGUCCCGACUUCUAAACCCAAUACACACUUGUGCACUUGUGGGCGAGCCUCCCAUGAGGAGCCGUCUUGUGUAACCUUGAAAAAGAGGGGGCAAGACUGAGGCACGCACCAUUGAUCCAUCACUUAUGCCUGUCUAUAUGCAUGUAUUUGGAUAAUCGGAAAUUGUAAUACAACUUUCAACAACGGAUCUCUUGGCUUUCGCAUCGAUGAAGGACGCCGCGAAAGUGCGAAACGUAAUGUGAAUUGCAGAAUUCAGUGAAUCAUCGAAUCUUUGAACGCAUCUUGCGCUCCUUGGUAUUCCGAGGAGCAUGCCUGUUUGAGUGUCGUGAAUAUGCUCGAUCCCUUUGACGUUUUUCGUUACUGGAGUCGGAUUUGGAUGUUGCUGGCCUUUAAUGGUCGGCUCAUCUUGAAAUACAUUAGCUGGUCCCAUCGGAUGUAGGCUCUGGACGUAAUAAAGUGUAGCUUUUGACGUCUUUUUGAGCUUUUGUCCAGGUCCGCUUCUAAUGGUCUUCGGACAAAUUGAUUGACCAAAUCUGACCUCAAAUCAGGUAGGACUA
rnacentral:misc_RNA from 1 species